GACGAACGCUGGCGGCGUGCCUAAUACAUGCAAGUCGAACGCAGUGGGGACGGGUGAGUAACACGUGGGUAACCUCCCCUCAGAGGGGAUAACACUUGGAAACAGGUGCUAAACCGAUACAGAUGGUUGGACCAGCGGGGACUUAGCCAGUUGGUGAGGUAACGGCUCACCAAGGCCACGAUGCAUAGCCGACCUGAGAGGGUGAUCGGCCACACUGGGACUGAGACACGGCCCAGACUCCUACGGGAGGCAGCAGUAGGGAAUCUUCGGCAAUGGACGAAAGUCUGACCGAGCAACGCCGCGUGAGUGAAGAAGGUUUUCGGAUCGUAAAACUCUGUUGGUAGAGAAGCGGUAUCUAACCAGAAAGCCACGGCUAACUACGUGCCAGCAGCCGCGGUAAUUC
rnacentral:rRNA from 1 species